rnacentral:rRNA from 1 species
CACGUAGGGUGCGAGCGUUGUCCGGAAUUAUUGGGCGUAAAGAGCUCGUAGGCGGCUUGUCGCGUCGAAUGUGAAAACUCGGGGCUCAACUCCGAGCUUGCAUUCGAUACGGGCAGGCUAGAGUUCGGUAGGGGAGACUGGAAUUCCUGGUGUAGCGGUGAAAUGCGCAGAUAUCAGGAGGAACACCGAUGGCGAAGGCAGGUCUCUGGGCCGAUACUGACGCUGAGGAGCGAAAGCGUGGGGAGCGAACAGG